UCUAUGGAUGUACGCCACUUAGGUGUUCCGGCCUCUUCACAUAGAAUCCGAGAAACGUGAACUGGUGGGAGGUAAGGAAUUCAUUACGGUGGCUGAUCCACUGCUGGAAGGCCGUUAUCCAGAGCAAGGCUUGUACCAAGCUCUUUCUCUCACAGCUGAGUGUUUGCAUCGUAAAGAUGUGAAAAGGCACGUUAUCCAGAUCAGUUUGGCUUCAAACAUAUUAUUUUUAAUCCUUUGUGAAUUAUAAUCCUUUGUGUAUAAACUUGAAGAUGCAAACACUUGAAGAGAAUUAUAAUCCUUUGAAGAUGUGAAAAGGCACGUUAUCCA